rnacentral:rRNA from 1 species
AUUGAACGCUGGCGGCAGGCCUAACACAUGCAAGUCGAACGGUAACAGGGAUCAGCUUGCUGAUUCGCUGACGAGUGGCGGACGGGUGAGUAAUGUCUGGGAAACUGCCUGAUGGAGGGGGAUAACUACUGGAAACGGUAGCUAAUACCGCAUAGCGUCGCAAGACCAAAGAGGGGGACCUUCGGGCCUCUGGCCAUCGGAUGUGCCCAGAUGGGAUUAGCUAGUAGGUGGGGUAACGGCUCACCUAGGCGACGAUCCCUAGCUGGUCUGAGAGGAUGACCAGCCACACUGGAACUGAGACACGGUCCAGACUCCUACGGGAGGCAGCAGUGGGGAAUAUUGCACAAUGGGCGCAAGCCUGAUGCAGCCAUGCCGCGUGUAUGAAGAAGGCCUUCGGGUUGUAAAGUACUUUCAGCGGGGAGGAAGGGAGUAAAGUUAAUACCUUGGCUCAUUGACGUUACCCGCAGAAGAAGCACCGGCUAACUCCGUG